rnacentral:rRNA from 1 species
UGAGGAAUAUUGGUCAAUGGACGCAAGUCUGAACCAGCCAAGUAGCGUGCAGGAUGACGGCCCUAUGGGUUGUAAACUGCUUUUAUAUGGGGAUAAAGUGGGGAACGUGUUCCCUUUUGCAGGUACCAUAUGAAUAAGGACCGGCUAAUUCCGUGCCAGCAGCCGCGGUAAUACGGAAGGUUCGGGCGUUAUCCGGAUUUAUUGGGUUUAAAGGGAGCGUAGGCCGUUUGGUAAGCGUGUUGUGAAAUGUAGGAGCUCAACUUCUAGAUUGCAGCGCGAACUGUCAGACUUGAGUGCGCACAACGUAGGCGGAAUUCAUGGUGUAGCGGUGAAAUGCUUAGAUAUCAUGAAGCACUCCGAUUGCGAAGGCAGCUUACGGGAGCGCAACUGACGCUGAAGCUCGAAGGUGCGGGUAUCGAACAGG